ensembl:snoRNA SNORD63 Small nucleolar RNA SNORD63
GUGCAGUGAUGUAUUUGUCAACACAUCAUUCUGAAACAUGUAUGUGAUGACUUCUUAUGACUGAGCACA